CCCAUUGAGGAUAACGAAAAGAGCAAAGAUGUGAAUGGACCGGAACCCCUCAACAGCCGGAGCAACAAACUGCACUGUACUGCGAAUGAUGGUCGGAGUGAAUAUCUCAGAUGAGCAGCUGGGCAGUAUUGCAGACAGGACCAUCCAGGAGGCUGACCAAGAUGGAGACAGUGCCAUAUCUUUUACAGAAUUUGUUAAGGUUUUGGAGAAGGUGGAUGUAGAACAGAAGAUGAGCAUCCGAUUUCUUCACUAAAGGGCAGAGACCAAAUUAUUCUUGCUUUCUAGUAUUUAAGAACUGAAACUUCCUUCUGUCCUCCAGCCCCACCCCAUCCUGUCAUCCCCCUUUCCCAGAAUACUACAGCUCCUGCAUGACAACCUGAAGUCUCUCCUGUCCAUACAAACUUGCCUUUGGUGUAUAAACAGGGCGUUACAGAAUGGUACCCUGUCUAUUUCUGUUCGGUAUCCACCCAUCAGUCUUUAUUGUAAGUACCAACUUCCCCUGUUCUACUGCUCAGUGCCACGCAUCCGUCCUGUCUGAGGAAAGAAACAGGGACUCAUGUCAAGAACCAGCCAGCAAAGCUCCCACUAGAUGGGACCAUAUCCAUGCUGCCUUCCCUUCAUCAGCCCUCCAUCAUGGUCCUGUGUGCUGUGUCCUGUGUCCUGUGUCUGUUUCUUCCUACCUCUCUGUCAUCCAGCCUUCUCUCCAUUCAGUCUUUCAGCUGUCCUCCUGUCGUUGAGAUUCCCUGCAUUCUACUUGACUCUGGGCUCUGCUGGUAAGCCUGUUUCUGAUGUGGCAGGAUAGUUAGUGGUCUGGUGAUCUGUAUCUACCUUCUGAUGUGGGAUAUUGCCUAUCCAGGAGCUAUUGCUCUGUCGUCACAGGGCUUAUGAGCAGACAUGUUCUUAAAAGGUAGUCAUGGUGAGGCUUGUAGAGCCAUGUCUCCUAGGUGGCUUCCCAGGUCUCUCUACCUCUGACUUUUUAUUUUCAAAUAUAUUUAUGUGGCUUUUCUGGGUACAGUGUUGACAUUCAGAAAAUAGUCUAAUGCCUGCCAGUUUGCUUCUCUUUGGGACAUUGUCACCACCCAAGCGGCUGUUCUGACAAUAUGGUAGAGGGCCUUCUUGUGUUUUCUGACAAGGAUGGGCACCCUGGAGAGCUGCCCACAUUUGCUCCACAGCAUGGGUUAUGCCUCAGUGUUCUGUACACUUGAAGAUUCUUCACAUUUCCAAACAGAAAGACUAGUGUUACAGAAGUGCCUGACUUACCUCAGUCCUAAAGAAUUAGAUUGUCCUCAGUGUCUUAAAGUUUUGCACAAAACUCUGAAUGAAUUUUAUACUUGGCAAAUUUUAAUGCUGGAAGAUGUAUAGUCAGUUCAUAAUCCUGGUCCAGGCACUGUAUGCAUCGAAUGUAUUGUCUCAUGAGCUUCCUAAUGACACGACCUUCCUAGCUCCUUGUGAAUACUAUACUAUGCAGAUCCCUCAGAAGCAUGGGACCUGGGACUGGUGGCACCAACUGAGGUGACAUUCUCUGCCAAUGUCAGCUUGAUUUAGAUGUCACUGAAUCAAGCUGCUUCCGCCCUGUGUUCCUGUGAAUCUGCUCUUGGCUGGCUUUCUCUGGUGUUGCCUGCUUGCUUGCUUGCUUUGUUGCUUUGGAAGGCUAUCCAAGAUAUGUAAGCAAUUCUUUAGGAAAUAAAUUGCUGUUAACCCAAACAAACAAAAACACUGCAGACGAGAUGGGUAAAGGCGAGCAGUGGGGGCGUGGCUAGGACAGAUGGCUAGGGUCUACAUGAACUGGGGAAUUCUUUAUGAAAUAUGUCAGACUUUGUGAUCAAAUGAUGUGAUAUAAGAAUUGUAUAAAGGGAAUAAUUGUCUGAUACUUAUCUGUUUGAGAAGUACUUCAGAAGCAUCUUGAUUUAAUUAUUUAAAGUUUCUAAGAUUAUGCCCCCCUUGGCUGUAUAGCAAACUGUUUUUAUCCACAGUUGUGCCUUAUUGUCCCAUUAAAAUUGUAUUCCUCAAUCCACCAAUAAAUUAAUUGUCAUUAAAACAAAA
rnacentral:lncRNA from 1 species